rnacentral:rRNA from 1 species
UACGUAGGGGGCAAGCGUUGUCCGGAUUUAUUGGGCGUAAAGCGCGUGUAGGCGGCCCGGUAAGUCCGCUGUGAAAGUCGGGGGCUCAACCCUCGGAUGCCGGUGGAUACUGUCGGGCUUGAGUACGGAAGAGGCGAGUGGAAUUCCUGGUGUAGCGGUGAAAUGCGCAGAUAUCAGGAAGAACACCCGUGGCGAAGGCGGCUCUCUGGGACGGUACUGACGCUGAGACGCGAAAGCGUGGGGAGCGAACAGG